UGAAUGACUCCUGGCAAUGGAUAUCUUGGCUCUCGUGUCGAUGAAGAACGUAGCGAAAUGCGACACUUGGUGUGAAUUGCAGAAUCCCGUGAACCAUCGAGUCUUUGAAUGCAAGUUGCGCUCAAGGCCAUUAGGUCGAGGGCACGUCUGUUUGGGUGUCAUGC
rnacentral:rRNA from 1 species